rnacentral:lncRNA from 1 species
GGUUAGGGUUAGGGUUAGGGUUAGGGUUAGGGUAAGGGUUAGGAAGCCUUCUUCUUUUUGUGAAGAGAGAGGAACAGUGAUGGCAGUGCUGACCAGUCAGUUUCAGGGGAAACACACAUCCCUAGGACAAGCAGCAGAGACAGGUCAAGGCAAGGCUGUGGGACCUCGGAGGUACAAAGAAGGAUAAGGAGCCGUGAAGCCGGCGCUGACCAGCCAAAAUCAGCACAAACUCACAGCCCAAGGAAAAGCAGCAGAUAUGUGGCAAUCGAGGCACAGACGCCGUUGCUAGUGCAGAAUGAAGACCCUUGAUUGUACGUGCUUACAACCUUUUAUAGCCACAUCACAACCCCUUGGUCACAUGUCCCAAGGUCUUCUGUUAGGCAAAGUGGGGGAUUAGUCUUGGUUUUCCCACAAGCAGAGGCAGGUCCAGCACAGGCAAUAAAAGCUCAGGGGUGUAAGGAAGGAAGAGGAGUGGUGAAGCCAGCACUGACUAGCCAGUUGCUGGGCAAAUACACAGCCCAAGCUACAGCAUCGGAGACAGGUCGAGCCUGGGCAGCGGAACCUCAGAGCUUCGAAGGAGAAAGACGAGGAGUGGAGAAAAUCCUCCGCGAUGGCAGAGCAUUGGACACAACCAAAGAAAAGCUGGUUGGCCCUCAUGGAGCCCGGACUGCAAUGAUAAUGCCCCAAAUAGUGGUUGUAUCACCAUCGGGCUGCAUGAGAAGCCCACCUCCCUUUGGAUGCUUCCACAACGCAUCUGCAAGCGCCAAAGACCCCGAGAGAGGCUGCAAAACAGAAAACUGUCCGUCCUGUGACCACGUGGCAAGAGAUGGAGAAAAAGAAAAGAGAGGUCUUGCAAAAGAUGGUGGAGUUUUCCUUUCUUCCCGGUGCUCUUUCCUGGGAAUGAGGAGGAAGGCUUUCACGGCCGGGCUGCGGCUCUGAAGCCGGCCCAACACACAGAUGGAAGCGGGGCUGUCCCAGUGCUGUCCGCAGUGCGGACGGACAGAGAGCUUCCAACCCCGUGAUCCUAUGGACACGGCAGCACAUGGCUGUGAUGUGAGCCGUGACGAGGGACUUGUGCACGUUCAUCCAUUCAACGUGAGUUGGACGCUU